rnacentral:rRNA from 1 species
AAGUAGCAAUACUUAGUGGCAGACGGGUGAGUAUAAUGUGGGAAUCUGCCUUUUGGUUUGGAAUAACACGGGGAAACUUGUGCUAAUACCGAAUAAGCCCUUACGGGGAAAGUUUUAAUGCCGAAAGAUGAGCCCGCACUUGAUUAGCUAGUUGGUAAGGUAAAAGCUUACCAAGGCAAUGAUCAAUAGCUGUUCUUAGAGGAAGACCAGCCACAUUGGGACUGAGACACGGCCCAGACUCCUACGGGAGGCAGCAGUGGGGAAUCUUGCACAAUGGGGGAAACCCUGAUGCAGCGAUGCCGCGUGAGUGAAGAAGGCCUUUGGGUUGUAAAACUCUUUCGUCGGGGAAGAAAAUGACUGUACCCGAAUAAGAAGGUCCGGCUAACUUCGUGCCAGCAGCCGCGGUAAUACGAAGGGACCUAGCGUAGUUCGGAAUUACUGGGCUUAAAGAGCUCGUAGGUGGUUAAAAAAGUUGAUGGUGAAAUCCCAAGGCUCAACCUUGGAACUGCCAUCAAAACUUUUUAGCUAGAGUGUGAUAGAGGUAAGUGGAAUUUCUAGUGUAGAGGUGAAAUUCGUAGAUAUUAGAAAGAACACCAAAUGCGAAGGCAACUUACUGGGUCACUACUGACACUGAGGAGCGAAAGCAUGGGUAGCGAAGAGGAUUAGAUACCCUCGUAG